GAGCGGCCGAUAUCAGAUUAGCUAGUUGGUGAGGUAAAAGCUCACCAAGGCGACGAUCUGUAGCGGGUCUGAGAGGAUGAUCCGCCACACUGGAACUGAGACACGGUCCAGACUCCUACGGGAGGCAGCAGUGGGGAAUUUUGGACAAUGGGGGCAACCCUGAUCCAGCCAUGCCGCGUGAGUGAAGAAGGCCUUCGGGUUGUAAAGCUCUUUCAGCCGGGAAGAAAAUGCAUGGGUUAAUACCCUGUGCAGAUGACGGUACCGGAAUAAGAAGCACCGGCUAACUACGUGCCAGCAGCCGCGGUAAUACGUAGGGUGCGAGCGUUAAUCGGAAUUACUGGGCGUAAAGCGUGCGCAGGCGGUUUUGUAAGACAGGCGUGAAAUCCCCGGGCUUAACCUGGGAACU
rnacentral:rRNA from 1 species